rnacentral:siRNA from 1 species
CGCGACAGAUAUGGGCCCUU